GACGAACGCUGGCGGCGUGCUUAACACAUGCAAGUCGAACGGAAAGGCCCUGCUUUUGUGGGGUGCUCGAGUGGCGAACGGGUGAGUAACACGUGAGUAACCUUCCCUUGACUUUGGGAUAACUUCAGGAAACUGGGGCUAAUACCGGAUAGGAGCUCCUGCUGCAUGGUGGGGGUUGGAAAGUUUCGGCGGUUGGGGAUGGACUCGCGGCUUAUCAGCUUGUUGGUGGGGUAGUGGCUUACCAAGGCGUUGACGGGUAGCCGGCCUGAGAGGGUGACCGGCCACAUUGGGACUGAGAUACGGCACAGACUCCUACGGGAGGCAGCAGUGGGGAAUAUUGCACAAUGGGCGGAAGCAUGAUGCAGCAACGCCGCGUGCGGGAUGACGGCCUUCGGGUUGUAAACCGCUUUCGCCUGUGACGAAGCGUGAGUGACGGUAAUGGGUAAAGAAGCACCGGCUAACUACGUG
rnacentral:rRNA from 1 species